GCCAGGCAGAGGCCAGGAGAGGGCGCCCGUGUGGAAGGAACGGACAGGUGCACUCAGAAGUGGUGGCGUCUGACGCCCUUUCACGAUGUUGUUUCGUUUUGUAAUUUUCUUAGACUUCCAAAUUCAUAAUGAAGUUGACCCAACAUGACAACAAACAGGAUUCGAGGGGUUUGGACAGAUGGGGGGAUCAUCGGUAUCCUGGGGCCGGCAGCCUCACACUGAUAGAUGGUUCUGGAACUGCCCACUGGCAGCCCCUCUGCCAUGGGUGGGUGCAGCGGGGACUUCCCGGUUCAGUGGCUCCCCUGGCCGCGUAGACCCAGAUGUGCUUCCCUCUAGCACACAGUGCUGCUGGCCCCGCUGUGGGCCCCCGGCCUCAACCCAGAGAGCUUCUCCAAAUCAGUGGCUGUGGCCCCACCGUCUCCCGAGCGCCAGGCAGGGAACCCCUUCUGCAUCCACCCUGGGGUCUGCCUGCUGGGCUCACUUUGCUCCUCCUGGAACCAGCGCAAAACCCCUCACCGUAGACGCCCCCGUCCCCAUGUUGGUGUGGCGUCUGCCGCCAACUGACUCUGACAAACACACGGUUGAUGUUUCUGUGAAGUUUGGGAAAAUAAGAUCUUUUCACUGUACUGGGUCAAGACCUGUCCCUACUCGGCACGGCCCCCGUGCGCUUCCGGUAUCUGCGGGAGGAGGAGCGCCAAGUAGCCGGGAGCUACCUGUGGGGAAGGGAUGGCCCCCGUGCUGGGCUCACCCACCUGACAUCAACAUGAAGGCAGGAGCCUGAUGGUGUCUCCGACGUGUCCUGCUGGCAUUGGGCAAUCCUGUUUGAAGAUUCCGGAUCUAGACACUGGGGUGUGGGAUGGCUUCAGACAGGUAGAGGUGUGCGUGGAAAAUUCAGUUCUCAGCAGCUUCUAAUCAGGAUGGAGGUUUGUUUUGACUUCUUAUGGGAAUCGCGUGAUGGCGGCUGUGUCUGUCGACCACACACGCCCAGGGAGGUUCACACCUGAGCAACUCGUAUCCACAGAAAACAUCGCUCAGCCCCAUCCGUGGGAAGACUAAGUUGAUUUUCCAUUCUCCCAUAGAAAACGUUACCAAAUUGCCGUUUUGUAAACGUGAUCCAAGGCUGUGCAGUCAGGAACUUUAGGGUAAAAAACGUGCUGUGCGAUUCUGUGUGUGACGCCGCCUGUGUGAGCCUCCGAUUCUGUGUGUGACGCCGCCUGUGU
rnacentral:lncRNA from 1 species